CGUUGAAACACCAGCUCCCAUACGCCCACCGAAGCUAAGCAACCUACAGCCUGCUCAGUACUGAGCUGAGUGGCCCCUUGGUAAUACCUAUUAUUGUAA